rnacentral:rRNA from 1 species
AGCGAACGCUGGCGGCAGGCCUAACACAUGCAAGUCGAACGAAGCCUUCGGGCUUAGUGGCGGACGGGUGAGUAACACGUGGGAACGUACCUUUUGGUUCGGAAUAACGCAGAGAAAUUUGCGCUAAUACCGAACGAGCACUUCGGGGGAAAGAUUUAUCGCCGAAAGAUCGGCCCGCGUUGGAUUAGGUAGUUGGUGUGGUAAAGGCGAACCAAGCCUACGAUCCAUGGCUGGUCUGAGAGGAUGAACAGCCACACUGGUACUGAGACACGGCCCAGACUCCUACGGCAGGCAGCAGUGGGGAAUCUUGCGCAAUGGGCGAAAGUCUGACGCAGCCAUGCCGCGUGAAUGAUGAAGGUCUUAGGAUUGUAAAAUUCUUUUACCAGGGACGAUAAUGACGGUACCUGGAGAAAAAGCCCCGGCUAACUUCGUGCCAGCCGCCGCAGUAAGAC